UACAGAGGUCUCAAGCGUUGUUCGGAUUCAUUGGGCGUAAAGGGUGCGUAGGUGGCGCCGUAAGUCAGGUGUGAAAUUUCGGAGCUUAACUCCGAAACUGCAUUUGAUACUGCGGUGCUUGAGGACUGGAGAGGAGACUGGAAUUUACGGUGUAGCAGUGAAAAUGCGUAGAGAUCGUAAGGAAGACCAGUGGCGAAGGCGGGUCUCUGGACAGUUCCUGACACUGAGGCACGAAGGCCAGGGGAGCAAACGGG
rnacentral:rRNA from 1 species